GAUGAACGCUGGCGGCGUGCCUAAUACAUGCAAGUCGAGCGAACAGACGAGGAGCUUGCUCCUCUGACGUUAGCGGCGGACGGGUGAGUAACACGUGGAUAACCUACCUAUAAGACUGGGAUAACUUCGGGAAACCGGAGCUAAUACCGGAUAAUAUGUUGAAUCGCAUGGUUCAAUAGUGAAAGACGGUCUUGCUGUCACUUAUAGAUGGAUCCGCGCCGCAUUAGCUAGUUGGUAAGGUAACGGCUUACCAAGGCAACGAUGCGUAGCCGACCUGAGAGGGUGAUCGGCCACACUGGAACUGAGACACGGUCCAGACUCCUACGGGAGGCAGCAGUAGGGAAUCUUCCGCAAAGGGCGAAAGCCUGACGGAGCAACGCCGCGUGAGUGAAGAAGGUCUUCGGAUCGUAAAACUCUGUUAUUAGGGAAGAACAAAUGUGUAAGUAACUAUGCACGUCUUGACGGUACCUAAUCAGAAAGCCACGGCUAACUACGUG
rnacentral:rRNA from 1 species